UGGCUCAGGAUGAACGCCGGCGGUGUGCCUAAUACAUGCAAGUCGAACGCGUUGGCCCAAUUGAUUGAUGGUGCUUGCACCUGAUUGAUUUUGGUCGCCAACGAGUGGCGGACGGGUGAGUAACACGUAGGUAACCUGCCCAGAAGCGGGGGACAACAUUUGGAAACAGAUGCUAAUACCGCAUAACAGCGUUGUUCGCAUGAACAACGCUUAAAAGAUGGCUUCUCGCUAUCACUUCUGGAUGGACCUGCGGUGCAUUAGCUUGUUGGUGGGGUAACGGCCUACCAAGGCGAUGAUGCAUAGCCGAGUUGAGAGACUGAUCGGCCACAAUGGGACUGAGACACGGCCCAUACUCCUACGGGAGGCAGCAGUAGGGAAUCUUCCACAAUGGGCGCAAGCCUGAUGGAGCAACACCGCGUGAGUGAAGAAGGGUUUCGGCUCGUAAAGCUCUGUUGUUAAAGAAGAACACGUAUGAGAGUAACUGUUCAUACGUUGACGGUAUUUAACCAGAAAGUCACGGCUAACUACGUGCCAGCAGCCGCGGUAAUACGUAGGUGGCAAGCGUUAUCCGGAUUUAUUGGGCGUAAAGAGAGUGCAGGCGGUUUUCUAAGUCUGAUGUGAAAGCCUUCGGCUUAACCGGAGAAGUGCAUCGGAAACUGGAUAACUUGAGUGCA
rnacentral:rRNA from 2 species